UUCCAGGACACUCAGGUCCCUCAUAUAGAGUUUGCAUAGAACCUAUGCACAUCUUCGUGUAUCCUUUAAGUCACCUCUAGGUUACUUAGAUCACCUCUAGAUUACUCACUUAUAAUACUUAAUACAAUGUCAAUGCUAUAUGAAGAGUUACUGUCAUGUGGCAAAUUCAAGUCGUGCUUUCUUGUACUUUCUAGAAUUAAAAAAAUUUUUUUGAUCUGUGGUUGAUUGAAUCCUCAGAUGUGGAACCUACAGAUACUCAGGGCCAACUAUAUAAGGCUUCUUUUGGAGGGUUGAAUAUCAAUAGGGAGGGAAUACAUGGCUGGAAAUGGAAAGGCCCUGCUUCCUAUUUUAGAAUGUGAGAAACUUCACCUGAUGAAGAUUGCCCUGUGAUGGGAAAUAUAACACAUGGACACUUCAGUCAAUGGAAUUCUCCAGGACGGAAUACUGGAGUAGGUAGCCUUUCCCUUCUCCAGGGGAUGUUCCCAAUCCAGGGAUUGAACCCAGGUCUCCCACAUUGUGAGCGGAUUCUUUACCAGGUGAGCCAUAAGGGAUGUCCAAGAAUACUGGAGUGGGUAGCCUACCCUUUCUCCAGGGAAUCUUGCUGACCCAGGAACUGAACCAGGGUUUCCUGCAUUGCAGGCAGAUUCUUCACUAACUGAGCUAUUAGGGAAGCCCCUGCUCCUUAGGGGCCCACAUAUGGGUCUGGAAAUCAAAAAGCAAACAUCUUUUCCAACGUGGCAGGAUGAGAUAGAUCUAUGAAAGAGGGAAUAAAAAAGCAAAGGCAACUAACACGUAUGGAUUGUCCCUAACUCACCUAAAUUAUUUCUUUGUGGUUAUUUAAAGUGAAUAUAAUAUAAUUCAAAUAUGUCCUAGUCCACUCCUUCUUGGGGAUAUCCCUGUUCAUCUGAUUAUUCCAAGGGUUUCAAUGGCUGCACCGCCCUGUCCUCCUGGAAUUCUAAUUAGCAAGUCAAGGGGAAUGGGCUGGAUUUUCACACAUCCUUUCCCCAAGAAGGACUUCGGUCACACAGUCUCAGUUUUCCUGCCUGCUGUGUUCCUUCCUCAGAGACAAAAUUACCACCAGCUCCAGGAAAUGAGCUCCUUGAAGGAAAAUGAUCAGCCUUGGCCUCAAAGUGCUUGCAGAAGGUUUGCAAACAAUACAACUACGAAGUAUGAAGAACAGGCUGGAAGCACUACACAGAACCUAGAAUUUUUAGGACAAGCCUGCAAUUUUUAGGUCUGAGAAGAUAAUGUGGGCAAAGAACGAACUGAAUAAAGAAUGAGAUUUGAACAUCCCGCAAGGCAGGGGGCGUGGAGUGCUGGCACCUGAUGGGGAAGACCAGGGGCCCUGGAGUCAGUGAGACUGAGGUUCAGGUCCUCCCUCUGAUUCUUGCCAGAUGCACAGCCUGAGGCAUGGAUUCCUGUGCCAGUGACUUUUGGAAGAUGAGGGGCUGGAAGGGAGUGAUGGAAGCAGGAUGGGGCAGAGGAACCAAGCAGGAUGGAGGUUAGUGUCACACUGGGGAGCUCUGGAGCUGGAAUCCAGCACAGAGUUGGUCCUGCCUCAGUGCGAGAGGCUGAUGCAGUUCCCUGGAGAGGGUGGUGGGCAGCUGUGUGUCGCUGUCAGUGGAGACUCACAGCAGCUGGAGGAUGGGUGCACCUGCCAGAAAGGAGAGCUGGGUGGGGUACCAAGAGGAGGCUACCUAGCAGACCCUUGAGAAAGAAUCUCCUUUGGAAAGGAAACAAGCCUGUUUUCUGCUUCCUUUUUCACCCCUGACAGGAAGGGGAAAAAGUUGUGUCCCUCACUCCCCAAGCCGUGAUCCAUAUAAAGCCCUUUCUGCUUUUCCUCCGAGGCAGAUGUUCUAGCUGUUGAAGAGGAUGGACUUUGCAUGCAGUAACUCUGGUAUAUUGUCACUUCUGUCUUGGACUGCAAACCAUUUUUCUGAUCUCUGGUCUCAGCCACAGCUUCCAGCCUCUUAGAUUCUGAAGCGCUGGAAUCAAGGUCUCUGCUACAGCGCUUCUGAUCAAGGCUCUGGAUGCUCCAGGCUUCUGGGUGCUCAGGUAUGGGACAGAGUUGGGUUCAAAGCCUUGUUCUGCCACUUUGUGAGUUGCUUACUUAAUCUUUUGGAUCCUGUGUCAUCUGUAAAAUGGAACCAAUAUGUUCUCCUCAACAUUGUUGUACAGUUUAAAUUAGAUAAUGCAGUUUAGUCCAGGAACUCUCCCACAGUGAAAGGAGAACCAACACCGAAUGAUGUCUUUAAUGAUCUCAAGGAAGAACCCCAUCCUUGCGGCCGUUUGGUCAGGGCUUUUUAGUGAUUCUCAAUAGUUAAGUCAACAGGCAGCGCUGCCGCGGCCUUCUCCAUUUGAUGGCUCCAGGCUGGGUCCAUUCGUGCCCUUAGAUCUUGGCUCUUGUGUCCAGCUUUCUGGUGCUCACUGCGGGCUGUGAAGAUGAGCCGAAUUGUGAAGGAGUGAGUGUCGCAUGCCCCUGUGAUUAUGGUAGGGUUUGAUACGGGAUCCCUGUGGUCUGAUGGUGAUGUUUGGAGAUGGAUGUCGGGUUUGUGAGUGGAGUGCCGGGUACCUUGGCCAGUAUUACAGCUUGCUUGUAAAUUCACUGCAGAGCUCCUCGUUGCUGUUCUGAAAAUGACAUCCCUCCCUCCCUUCCCUCUGUCUGGCAGGAGCUGAAGUUGCCAUUAGUGUUAUUUACCAGACAUUUCCAACUUCCUCAUUCUCAGUCCUUGGCUAGGCUUAUAUUUCCUCAUCUACUUUAAAACUGGAUAUGGCCCUGAGACCUCCUGUGGUCCCAGUAAACCUCCACUGUCAGAGAAGGAAGAUGGAUGCAGGAGAGGAGACAGAACCUGUUUAAGUAUUUCUUUCU
ensembl:lncRNA